AAGUCGUAACAAGGUAGCCGUAUCGGAGGGUGCGGCUGGAUCACCUCCUUUCUAGGGAGAAAUUGGUUUACUAUCCAGUCUUGAGAGUUCAUCUCUCAUAGAUGUGGGGGCAUAGCUCAGUUGGGAGAGCACCUGCCUUGCAAGCAGGGGGUCAGGAGUUCGACUCUCCUUGUCUCCACCAUUUGCACAAUACUAUUGUGCUUUGCACAUUGAAAACUGCAUAUCAUAAACAAUCCUAAUAAGGUCAGCGAGAGCUGAUUUUAAGUAAUAAAAGGUUACAUUUUCUCUUAGAAAAUGAAAAGGUCAAGUUAGAAAGAGCGUAGGGUGAAUGCCUUGGCGCUGGGAGCCGAUGAAGGACGUGGUAAGCUGCGAUAAGCUUUGGGGAGGUGCAAGCAACCUUUGAUCCAGAGAUUUCCGUAUGGGGAAACCC
rnacentral:misc_RNA from 1 species